AAGUGUUACAGCUCUUUUAGAAUUUGCUUAGCAGAACUUUUUUAUUUUUUUAACUGAAAAACCCU
rfam:Otolemur garnettii contig070041, whole genome shotgun sequence.